UACGGGGGAUGCAAGCGUUAUCCGGAUUUAUUGGGUUUAAAGGGUGCGUAGGCUGUAAGGUAAGUCAGCGGUGAAAUGCCCCCGCUCAACGGGGUGAAGUGCCAUUGAUACUGCCUUGCUGGAAUGCGGAUGCCGUGGGAGGAAUGUGUGGUGUAGCGGUGAAAUGCUUAGAGAUCAUACAGAACACCGAUUGCGAAGGCAGCAUACCGGCGCCCGACUGACGCUGAGGCACGAAAGCGUGGGGAUCGAACAGG
rnacentral:rRNA from 1 species